UACAGAGGGGGCAAGCGUUAUUCGGAAUUAUUGGGCGUAAAGGGCGCGUAGGCGGCCUGACAAGUGGAAGGUGAAAUCCCUCGGCUUAACCGAGGAACUGCCCUCCAAACUGUUUGGCUUGAGACCGGGAGAGGUGAGUGGAAUUCCCAGUGUAGCGGUGAAAUGCGUAGAUAGUUGGAGGAACACCAGUGGCGAAGGCGGCUCACUGGACCGGUACUGACGCUGAGGCGCGAAAGCGUGGGGAGCAAACGGG
rnacentral:rRNA from 1 species